rnacentral:rRNA from 1 species
UACGUAGGGGGCUAGCGUUGUCCGGAAUCAUUGGGCGUAAAGCGCGCGUAGGCGGCCCGGUAAGUCCGCUGUGAAAGUCAAAGGCUCAACCUUUGAAUGUCAGCGGAUACUGCCGGGCUAGAGUCCGGAAGAGGCGAGUGGAAUUCCCGGUGUAGCGGUGAAAUGCGCAGAUAUCAGGAAGAACACCUAUGGCGAAGGCAGCUCUCUGGGACGGUACUGACGCUGAGACGCGAAAGCGUGGGGAGCGAACAGG